UAUAUAUGGUUUUUUAAACUGAAAUCAACUUUCAUGAAUGAACAUGCACAGGGGUGGAGCUUUUACAUGCCAAAUGGACAUUACAACUUGGGGGCACAUGCAAAUUUGAUUUGAAAAGCCAUAUACUUACUCACUGAUCACUGUUACCUGUUGCAAUGGUGAUUGGCGAUAAUUGAUUCACAUGAGGAUAAGAAAGAGGAGUGCUGCUUACUAAAAGCAAGUCCGACAUUCUUGAAUUAAAGAAAUAAAAAGAGGGUCUUCAUCUUGGUCGAUGUAUUUGAUGGUUUUAAAGUUUUAAGUUUUGUGUGCCUUCAUCUAGCGUUUGUAUACAUUGUGCCUUAAAUUGUAAGCCCCGGCCGCAACGCGGCGG
rnacentral:lncRNA from 1 species